UACGUAGGGUGCAAGCGUUGUCCGGAAUUAUUGGGCGUAAAGAGCUCGUAGGCGGUUUGUCACGUCGGAUGUGAAAACCCGAGGCUUAACCUCGGGCCUGCAUUCGAUACGGGCUGACUAGAGUUCGGUAGGGGAGACUGGAAUUCCUGGUGUAGCGGUGAAAUGCGCAGAUAUCAGGAGGAACACCGGUGGCGAAGGCGGGUCUCUGGGCCGAUACUGACGCUGAGGCGCGAAAGCUAGGGGAGCAAACGGG
rnacentral:rRNA from 1 species